rnacentral:rRNA from 1 species
UGGGGAAUAUUGCACAAUGGGCGCAAGCCUGAUGCAGCCAUGCCGCGUGUAUGAAGAAGGCCUUCGGGUUGUAAAGUACUUUCAGCGGGGAGGAAGGCGAUAAGGUUAAUAACCUUGUCGAUUGACGUUACCCGCAGAAGAAGCACCGGCUAACUCCGUGCCAGCAGCCGCGGUAAUACGGAGGGUGCAAGCAUUAAUCGGAAUUACUGGGCGUAAAGCGCACGCAGGCGGUCUGUCAAGUCGGAUGUGAAAUCCCCGGGCUCAACCUGGGAACUGCAUUCGAAACUGGCAGGCUAGAGUCUUGUAGAGGGGGGUAGAAUUCCAGGUGUAGCGGUGAAAUGCGUAGAGAUCUGGAGGAAUACCGGUGGCGAAGGCGGCCCCCUGGACAAAGACUGACGCUCAGGUGCGAAAGCGUGGGGAGCAAACA